AUGGACCGCUCGCCGCUGCUCCGCUGGCUGCUGCGCUUCAGAGGGUUCAGGGAGCGCCUCCUCGCCGACGACCUCUUCCUCGCCAAGCUCGCCAUGGAGAUGGGCGUCGGCAUGAUCGCCAAGACCGCUGCGGAGUAUGAGAAGAGACGGGAGAACUUCGUCAAAGAGAUUGACAUCGUCAUCGCUGAUGUGGUCAUGGCAAUAGUUGCCGAUUUCAUGCUUGUAUAUCUUCCAGCACCAACUGUGUCUUUGCAGCCACCACUUGCAAGAAAUGCUGGACUUAUCACUAGUUUUUUCCACAACUGCCCAGACAAUGCUUUCCAAAUUGCUUUGGCUGGAAGAUCAUUCUCGCUUCUGCAGAGGCUAGGAGCUAUUGUGAAAAAUGGUGCGAAGCUUUUUGCAGUCGGAACUGGUGCUUCUCUGGUUGGUACUGGUGUCACCAAUGCACUGAUCAAAGCAAGGAAGGCUGUUGACAAGGACCUCGACGACGAAGUUGACGAUAUUCCAGUGGUGUCAACUAGUAUUGCCUAUGGUAUAUAUAUGGCAGUUUCUAGUAAUCUCAGGUACCAGAUUUUGUCCGGUGUAAUCGAGCAGAGGAUGCUGGAGCCUGUAUUGCAUAACCACAAGCUGCUGCUGAGCGCACUCUGCUUCGCUGUUCGGACAGGAAACACAUUCUUGGGUUCUUUACUAUGGGUGGACUAUGCCAGGAUGGUGGGUGUUCAAAAGGCCGAAGAGGAGAUCUAA
rnacentral:rRNA from 1 species